GACGUAGGGCGCGAGCGUUGUCCGGAAUCAUUGGGCGUAAAGCGCGUGUAGGCGGCUCGAUAAGUCUGCUGUGAAAGUCCAGGGCUCAACCCUGGGAUGCCGGUGGAUACUGUCGAGCUCGAGUCCGGAAGAGGCGAGUGGAAUUCCUGGUGUAGCGGUGAAAUGCGCAGAUAUCAGGAGGAACACCAAUGGCGAAGGCAGCUCGCUGGGACGUGACUGACGCUGAGACGCGAAAGCGUGGGGAGCGAACAGG
rnacentral:rRNA from 1 species